rnacentral:rRNA from 1 species
GACGAACGCUGGCGGCGUGCCUAAUACAUGCAAGUAGGACGCAGUUGCGAACGGGUGAGUAACGCGUAGGUAACUACCUAUUAGAGGGGGAUAAAUAUUGGAAACGAUAGCUAAUACCGCAUACUAGUAGAUGGACCUGCGUUGUAUUAGCUAGUAGGUAGGGUAAUGGCCUCCCUAGGCAACGAUACAUAGCCGACCUGGAGGGGUUGACGGGCAACAUGGGACUGGGGCACGGGCCAGACUCCUACGGGAGGCAGCAGUAGGGGAAUUUUGGAAAUGGGGGGAAACCUUACCGAGCAACGCCGCGGGAGUGGAGAAGGUUUUCGGGGCGGAAAGCUCUGUUGUGAAGGAAGCGGUACUUAACGAGGAAGGGACGGCUAACUACGUGCCAGCAGCCGCGGUAAUUC